GUCCACGCCAUAACGAUGUGUGCUAGUUGGUGGUAGCUUAGCUAUUCGCUGACGCAGCUAACGCCUUAAGCACACCGCCUGGGAAGUACGGCCGCAAGGUUAAACUCAAAGGAAUUGACGGGGCCCGCACAAGCGGUGGAGCAUGUGGUUUAAUUCGAUGCAACGCGAAGAACCUUACCUGGUCUUGACAUAGUAAGAACUUUCCAGAGAUGGAUUGGUGCCUUCGGGAACUUACAUACAGGUGCUGCAUGGCUGUCGU
rnacentral:rRNA from 1 species